GACGAACGCUGGCGGCGUGCUUAACACAUGCAAGUCGAACGAUGAACCCGGAGCUUGCUCCGGUGGAUUAGUGGCGAACGGGUGAGUAACACGUGAGUAACCUGCCCUUGACUCUGGGAUAACUGCGGGAAACUGUAGCUAAUACCGGAUACGACCCUCGGCGGCAUCGCCAGGGGGUGGAAAGAAUUUCGGUCAAGGAUGGACUCGCGGCCUGUCAGCUAGUUGGUGAGGUAACGGCUAACCAAGGCGACGACGGGUAGCCGGCCUGAGAAGGUGACCGGCCACACUGGGACUGGGAACCGGCCCAGACUCCUACGGGAGGCAGCAGUGGGGAAUAUUGCACAAUGGGCGCAAGCCUGAUGCAGCAACGCCGCGUGAGGGAUGACGGCCUUCGGGUUGUAAACCUCUUUUAGUAGGGAGGAAGCGAAAGUGACGGUACCUGCAGAAAAAGCACCGGCUAANUANGUGCCAGCCGCCGCGGUAA
rnacentral:rRNA from 1 species